UCUCCGUAGGUGAACCUGCGGAGGGAUCAUUACUGAGUGAGGGCUUCGGUCCGACCUCCAACCCUUUGUGAACCAAACUUGUUGCUUCGGGGGCGACCCUGCCGCUUCGGUGGUGCGGCGCCCCCGGAGGCCAUUAAACACUGCAUCAUUGCGUCGGAGUUAAAGUAAAUUAUACAAAACUCUCAACAGCGGAUCUCUUGGUUCCAGCAUCGGUAAAGAACGCAGC
rnacentral:misc_RNA from 1 species